AAGUCGUAACAAGGUUUCCGUAGGUGAACCUGCGGAAGGAUCAUUCAUAACGAGUGUUUAUGGCACUCUAAAAAUCCAUACCCACCUUGUGUGCAGCGUUAAGAGUCUUUUGUCUCUCUUUCAGAGGGCACGAGAUUUCUUUUAAUUAAUCUACCUUAAACCAGUUUGUCUGAAGCAUUGUAUCAUGAAUAAACAUAAUUCAAAAUACAACUUUCAACAACGGAUCUCUUGGCUCUC
rnacentral:misc_RNA from 1 species